UUAAAAUUAGAAUCAAUCCUGAAAAUGAGUCAAAUUAUGAUAAAGAUGAACUUGUAUGGCCACAGCAACUAUAAUUUUUUAAGAGUUAAGAGAAAUGGUCAGAUAAGCCUACAUGUUCAUGUAUUACAAAUGUGCAUGAAAACCAUCAAACACCAGUGAUAUUGAUGAAUCAGUAUUUUUACAACUAAUCACUUAUUUGUUAAAAGGUCCACAUGUAGUUUGAUUGGUUUCAAUUCUUUUUACUUUAUUAUUGUUCCAUUUUCAAUUAUCUCAAUUUCUAAUCAUCAUGUAUCCAUUUUCAUUUAUUUAAAUGCUCAGCAAGCCUC
rnacentral:lncRNA from 1 species